GGAUGAACGCUGGCGGCGUGCUUAACACAUGCAAGUCGAACGGAAAGGCUCCUGCUUGCAGGGGUACUCGAGUGGCGAACGGGUGAGUAACACGUGGGUGAUCUGCCCUGCACUUCGGGAUAAGCCUGGGAAACUGGGUCUAAUACCGGAUAGGACGAUGGUUUGGAUGCCAUUGUGGAAAGUUUUUUCGGUGUGGGAUGAGCUCGCGGCCUUUCAGCUUGUUGGUGGGGUAAUGGCCUACCAAGGCGUCGACGGGUAGCCGGCCUGAGAGGGUGUACGGCCACAUUGGGACUGAGAUACGGCCCAGACUCCUACGGGAGGCAGCAGUGGGGAAUAUUGCACAAUGGGCGCAAGCCUGAUGCAGCGACGCCGCGUGGGGGAUGACGGCCUUCGGGUUGUAAACUCCUUUCGCUAGGGGCGAAGCGCAAGUGACGGUACCUGGAGAAGAAGCACCGGCUAACUACGUG
rnacentral:rRNA from 1 species